rnacentral:lncRNA from 1 species
UUCUCUUUUACAAAUUCAAUAAUUUUCUCAUUAAAUUAAGUUUCACAUGAUUUGUUGGUAAACACUAUUUACAAGUUGUUUAACUAUCGUUACUCCUACCGACUUAUAUAAGUUGUCAUGACUAUCAAGAAUAAGUACUCAAACUUGUUAUUUUAUCAAAAUCAAGAUUAAAUUAAUUAUUUUUAUCCCAUUUAACCCUUUAAUAUUUUAUAUUCUUAAAAUAAGAUUAACUUAGUUGUCCUUGUGAAAAUGACCAUAUAUAGUUAAUAAAAUUAUUAUUAUUUUCCUAUCGUAUGGUAACAAUGUCCUUUAUAUCACCCCAAAAUGAACUACGUUACGAAAAAUAAGGAGAUAUAUACGGAUGCAAUGCAUAGUUAUAAAUGCAACGACUAAUAUGGGACGGAAAUAACAUUAUAAUUAACUCUAAGACGACUUAGAAUUAAGUGGUCAACCGAAUAUUAAAGCUUCCCUUUUCACUUUAUAUCAAUAUCUAGUUUUAUUGUCCAUUUUUGAUAGAUAAUUAGAUAGUUACUAUCUUCGUCUCAAUCUCAUAUUAGAUGGGCACUUUCUAUAUUUUACAUAAUAAUUAAGAAAUCAUUAAUAGAUUGAGUAACUUUACUAUUUCGCCCUUUGUUCAUAUUAAUUAGCCUAUUGAAAAAAUAAAUUAUGAAUCUUCAAAAUUUCUUUAAAUAUCCAUAUGAAAGGAGAAGUAGCCUAAGAAAUUUUACAAUCUCUUGAAAUUCAUCCACAUAGAAAAUCAUAGGGUACACCAAAUUAAAUUAUAUAUUUAAUUGUCAAAAUUAAAGAAAAGUGAACUAAUGAAAUCAAAAACAAAUUUAUAUAGUUGAGAGAGACCUCAUCUUUUUCAGUUGAGAAUGUAGUGAAAGUUGGUCAUUAGUUGGGGUAAUCUCACUGGUUGAGUGUUCCAUUCCUCUUUCUUCAAAUGUAAUUCCUAAAAAAAAAAACUUUGUUUCCUUUUAAUUUCAAUUCAUAUUAUUAUUAAUCCAAAGAAAUAUAUUCAUUGCAGAAUUUGAUUUGAAAAGAAAAGACAAGCCAAUAAAAGGGAAAUUAUGCAACAUCAACUCUCAUUAUAAGUGUCUACAUGUCCAAAUCCAAAAUGGAAGAGCAUAGAUUUCAGAUGAGGCCAAGCUAAAGAACAUAAUUAUGUAUUAUGCCUUAGAAAACACUUAUAAUAUUCUCCUUUUUUAUUUGAUUGUUUUACUCUUUUUUUUUAGUUCAUUUUAAGAAGAACGUUUCUUUCAUUUUUUGGUGAUUCUUUAGUUCUAAUUUUUCACAUGAUAUGUUUACAAUCAAAAAGUUAACGGGCACUAUGAUAUAUUUUACGCAUUUUUAAUUUAAGACUAUAAGAUUCAAAAGGCUCUUUACUUUCUUAACCUCUACAUCAAGUCAAAAAUCACACAAAACUUUGAAACAUACACUACUAAACAUUAAGUAUUUUUCCAUUGAAAUUUUCUAUUGAAAAACGUUCGGUGACUAUUUUCACAAAUAUUUUAAUUCUAUCAAUGAAAAAAAUAACUAAUAGUAUUUUCACACAUGUUAGUGUUUUAGUGAGAAUCUAUUUUUCCAGUGAGCUAGUUCGUUAAAAACAGAGUGGGAAAAUCUUACUUUGGUAGAGAUGUUGUGAGACUCUCUGAAGCAUGUAAGUUGUUAUAAACAAAAAAAAAUAAAGGAAAAAAAAAACAAAAGGUGAUUUAAAUUUGAAACAACAGAAACAAAAACAAUUGUGUUUUUUCAUAUUUUUAUUCACUUUUCCCUUUACACUAUAAAAUAUUAUGUAAAUCAUGGCAUUCAAAUUGAGGUGUAGCAAAGAAUAAAGAGUAAUAGUUUAGCAUGGAACAAGAAUAUUUAGAAAAAGAAACACCUCUUUGCUUUGGCUGUUUCUUUUUUAUUUAUUUGUUUCUUUUUUUGGUUUGUUGUUUCUAUACGACAGGUCACCUGUAAAUUUAUAAGAGAAAAUGUG